AUCAGCAACUCCUAAUUCCAAACUGAAAGAACACUCCCAGAACGCUGACACCAUGCUAAGCAGAUACUCCCAGAACCACCCUCCUUUCCCCUCCCAAUCUAAUAUUUGAUCUAGUGUCACAGAACCAUAGCCUGGCAAAUAACACAGGGUGGCCUCCACAGAGGAAAUGCUGCCAGCUAACAGCACCGGAUGUAAUCGAGACCACAAGAGACACAUACUCAGUUAUAAAUGUCGAACUAAAAAGAAGUAUUGGAAAGAAACAAAAGCUACCUCUUUAUUAGGCAGAUUCAUUGUUUUAGUGAAAUCUUAUUAGCUCACUGUUAUCUCUCAAACAAAAUAAAAUCUCUGUGAAUUAUUUUGAGAAUUCACUAUCUGCAGAUUUAAAAGGAAAAAAAAAAAAAAACAGAAAUAUGGCUCCUCACCAUCCCUGGCCAACCUCCGAUCUUUGUGGGCAGAAGCACACAGGGACAUGGUUGUCCACCUGCCAGACAGUAUGGGAUCCA